rnacentral:lncRNA from 1 species
AUAUUGAUAUAAUUAAAUUUACCAAAACAAAAACAUUUCCACCAGAAAACUUAAAUCAAACCCAAACCAACCCACAGUUAAAAAGCGAUUGGGUUGGUACGAUUGGCCCAAUUUUAACCUAAACUCUUUCUAUCUACACGUAUAAGUUCAGUCGAAGCUUCUUCUAUUUUUCUUCGUCCAUUUCGUUUGCAAGCUCGAACUCUUAAAACGAUGCAACUGAAAGUUCGGAGAACAACCAUUUAAAGAGCCAAACCAAUAUGUUAAGAUUCUGAUUUUGUGAAAAUACGAACAGACUCGAAAUUAAAUAAUUUUAAUACUGAUGUACCAGUAUGUAUUUCUGGGAUUUAAUAUUAUAUAUGGUUCAAAAUAGACAUACGUGCAAUUAAAGCGCAACACUAAUAAUAAGCUCAAAGAAAUAAACAAUUGAAGUCCAACAUCGAUGCAAUAAGGUCAAAGAAGUACACAAUUUUUU